rnacentral:lncRNA from 10 species
AACCCACACACGACCGGUCGGAGGCAGAACGGUAGCCCCUCGGCGGCCGGCCGGCGCACGCGUCACCAGCCCAAGCCCACCGCGAUCGCUCACAGGGCCCGUGCGCACCCGCCAGAGGGGAGCACCGGACGUGCGCUCGCCGGACCAGGCGGGCGCCCUUCCCCGCGUGGGAGGGGCGCGUCUCGUCUCACUCAACCGCCUCGAACCCCACACCGACGAGCUCCCUCAGGACCCACGCGCGGACACCGAGGCGCCGACCGGAGGAGGGGGCGCUGGGGGUGGGAACGACACACCACCGCUCGGCCUCGGGAACCUGAGGGACAACCCGGAGCGCUCCAGGAGCACCGCAAAGGCCCAGGGGGAGCCAACGCUCGCGCAAACUCCCCGGGAGGGCAGCACGACGGGCCGGCGGGACAGCACCCCCACCGCUGCGGAGGGGGGCCGCCCGCAAGUCGACAACCACAGGAGGCGAGAGCGAGGGGUGCCUGCCGCGUCAGAGGACCCCCCGACCCACCCCGCGAGGCAGAAGGCGGGGGCGGGACAGCGAGGUCAGGCCGGGUUCCGCACCCCAUGCCUUCCCAACGCACCACCCGCAGGCGAGGAAGAGGAGAGACAAGGGGCCCCCGCGGGCGGGACGAGAAGAAGGGUCCCAUUCGCCACGAAUGUCCGCCCCUCGCCCGUCGCGGCUCGGACACGGCCAGGGAGAGCAUGACAUCACCAUAUUCUAUUCUUACAAGAGUGCUGCCACGUAUUGAUUUUAAUCUUAUUAAAUGAAAUAACCACGUGUCAACCUGGGGGAAAGACUGAGUGAAGACCAUCAUGAUCAUCUCAAAACACAAAGGAACUUGCAUCCAGAAUG